rnacentral:tmRNA from 1 species
GGGCUUGACUGGAUUUGACAGCGGGCAGAAAUGGUACGUAAGCAUGCAGUGCGUCGAUGAUUGGCACUUAAAUCCCAGUUGUCAAAGAAUUAUCUGGCGAAACAAACUACGCUCUCGCUGCGUAAUCGAAGUACAGUAGAUUACCUUUAUUCUUUCACAAGGUGAGAGAACGGGACAUCACUCAGGAGCUCUGGUUCCGAAGCGUCUUGGUCAAGUGGUGCAGCUAAAUCGGAAAUAGUUCGGGUCUUUCCUCGCGACCCUUGCGAAACUCUUAGAGGAUAAGGUUCAGGUGGGUGGCUCCGGUCUUGCCUGGGCACGAAAACCGAAAGCGGAGAUAAGCAUGUAGAAAGCGUAUGGUUUCCUCGUUUGGACGAGGGUUCGAUUCCCUCCAGGUCCACCA